rnacentral:tRNA from 1 species
UCUAAUAUGGCAGAAUAGUGCGUUGGAUUUAAACCCCAACCAUAAGGAACCGCCUUUUUUAGAA